GUUAGGAAUAUUGGACAAUGGGCGCAAGCCUGAUCCAGCCAUGUCGCGUGAGUGAUGAAGGCCUUCGGGUUGUGAAGCUCUUUAGCCGAUGAUUAUAAUGACUGUAGUCGGAAAAUAAGCCCCGGCUAACUUCGUGCCAGCAGCCGCGGUAAUACGAAGGGGGCGAGCGUUAUUCGGAAUCACUGGGCGUAAAGCGUGCGUAGGCGGCUUUGCAAGUUGGGAGUGAAAGCCCAGGGCUCAACCCUGGAAGUGCUCUCAAAACUGCAAGGCUCGAAUUCGGGAGAGGAUAGCGGAAUUGUCAGUGUAGCAGUGAAAUGCGUAGAUAUUGACAGGAACACCAGUGGCGUAAGCGGCUAUCUGGACCGAUAUUGACGCUGAGGCACGAAAGCGUGGGGAUCAAACAGGAUUAGAUACCCCUGUAGUCC
rnacentral:rRNA from 1 species